rnacentral:misc_RNA from 1 species
GAAAUGCGAUAAGUAGUGUGAAUUGCAGAAUUCAGUGAAUCAUCGAAUCUUUGAACGCACAUUGCGCCUUCUAGUAUUCUGGGAGGCAUGCCUGUUUGAGCGUCAUUAAAACCUACUCAAGUAGUUUACUUGGAAGUGAAGGAAGAAUACUUUUUAAAUAAAGAGUUCUCCUUUGAAAUUGAUUAGCAGAUGGUAUAAAAUCCUGACGUUGCAAGAUUUUUUAUCUUUCGAAGGUGAUUUUAUUAUCUUGCUUCAAAUCCAUUUAUUGGCAUAUAUAUUAUAGUUAUGUUUGUUUUCAAAUAUACUAAAUAUUGUUGACAGUAAAUAAUUUAUUUAUAAGUUGACCUCAAAUCAGGUAGGGAUACCCGCUGAACUUAA